AAACCAGCACCUCAAGUGGUCAGGAUGAUUAUUGGGCCUAAAGCAUCCGUAGCCUGUUCUGUAAGUUUUCGGUUAAAUCUGUAUGCUCAACAUACAGGCUGCCGGGAAUACUGCAGGACUAGGGAGUGGGAGAGGUAGACGGUACUCGGGAGGAAGUGGUAAAAUGCUUUGAUCUCUCGAUGACCACCUGUGGCGAAGGCGGUCUACCAGAACACGUCCGACGGUGAGGGAUGAAAGCUGGGGGAGCAAACCGGAUUAGAAACCCCAGUAGUCC
rnacentral:rRNA from 1 species